UGAUGCUGUUGCUGUGCCUGGGGGUCCCGACCGGCCGCCCCUACAACGUGGACACUGAGAGCGCGCUGCUUUACCAGGGCCCCCCCAACACGCUGUUCGGCUACUCGGUCGUGCUGCACAGCCACGGGGCGAACCGAUGGCUCCUAGUGGGUGCGCCCACUGCCAACUGGCUCGCCAACGCUUCAGUGAUCAAUCCCGGGGCGAUUUACAGAUGCAGGAUCGGAAAGAAUCCCGGCCAGACGUGCGAACAGCUCCAGCUGGGUAGCCCUAAUGGAGAACCUUGUGGAAAGACUUGCUUGGAAGAGAGAGACAAUCAGUGGUUGGGGGUCACACUUUCCAGACAGCCAGGAGAAAAUGGAUCCAUCGUGGUAGGUAUUGGAACUGGUCCACUGAUCCAUCGUGAAAUCAGCUAUCCUGGGUGCAGCUUUCACAUCAUUUGGUCUACUUUUAUCUUAUUCAGACUUGUGGGCAUAGAUGGAAAAAUAUAUUUUACAUAAAGAAUGAAAAUAAGCUCCCCACUGGUGGUUGCUAUGGAAUGCCCCCUGAUUUACGAACAGAACUGAGUAAAAGAAUAGCUCCGUGUUAUCAAGGU
rnacentral:sRNA from 1 species